rnacentral:rRNA from 1 species
GACGAACGCUGGCGGCGUGCUUAACACAUGCAAGUCGAACGGAAAGGCCCUGCUUUUGUGGGGUGCUCGAGUGGCGAACGGGUGAGUAACACGUGAGUAACCUGCCCUUGACUUUGGGAUAACUUCAGGAAACUGGGGCUAAUACCGGAUAGGAGCUCCUGCUGCAUGGUGGGGGUUGGAAAGUUUCGGCGGUUGGGGAUGGACUCGCGGCUUAUCAGCUUGUUGGUAGGGUAGUGGCUUACCAAGGCUUUGACGGGUAGCCGGCCUGAGAGGGUGACCGGCCACAUUGGGACUGAGAUACGGCCCAGACUCCUACGGGAGGCAGCAGUGGGGAAUAUUGCACAAUGGGCGGAAGCCUGAUGCAGCAACGCCGCGUGCGGGAUGACGGCCUUCGGGUUGUAAACCGCUUUCGCCUGUGACGAAGCGUGAGUGACGGUAAUGGGUAAAGAAGCACCGGCGAACUACGU